CAUAUAAACUAAAAUCAGAAUGACAAACUAAAAUCAGAAUGACAGAGGAGCUUAGCAUGGCCCCUGAACCAGGAUGACAUAAAGGUUCUUGAAACAGUUCUUAUCUUC